CGAUCUCGUCUCCUCUCCGCCCUCUCUCUCUCUCUCUCUCUCUCUCUCUCUCUUAUUCAUCCUCUUCAAACCCUAAUUUCUUCCUUCGAUCCACCUCUCGUCGUUCAAUCUUCCACCCAUUGUUUCUCGUUGUGUUUGGGAAUCUAGGGUUUUUUUUUUCUGUGAAACCCUAAGAAUUAAUUGAAGAGGGAGGAAGGGAGGGAGAGAGAGAGGUUUGAUGGCGCAAAAUGGGCAGGGGAUGGACCCUGCCGUUCUUGAUGAUAUCAUUAAUCGGCUUUUGGAGUUUCGGCAGGCGAGGAGUGUACGCCACGUCCAGGUCCAGCUCUCCGAGGCUGAGAUCCGUCAGCUUUGCAUCGUUUCGAGAGAAAUCUUCCUCCAAUAACCCAAUCUCUUAGAGCUCGAAGCCCCCAUCAAGAUCUGCGUUAGUUGAGUUGAGUCAGUGUUUCCUCCAACACAACAUCGGCCUCUAUUACAGAACCAUGUUUCUUUCUAAAUUGGGAGCUUUGAGGAUCUUGGGUUGGUCUUCUCAUGGCACAUAUUGGUGGGCAUCAUUUCUCUGGAGGGUCUCUAUCAGGUUUUACUUGGCAUUGGGGAGCUCAUCGCUUCAAGGUCUUGCCCCAAGGUACUUUUGUUGAAUGGUAUUCAUGAUCGAGAAACUAGCGGCUUUUCUGCUGCUUGCUUUGGGUUGGGAGGGUUUCGAGCACAAUCUAACUCUAACACACAUAAAUAGGUAAUGAAGCUCAAGGAACAGCUUUCCGAGGCAAAGAAGGAGAUACAGUGGAGAGAUGCGAUGGUGUUUCAAGCAACAGCCUGGCUUCAUUGUUCUCCAUGGAAGCCAUGGAUCCACCUCUUUUUCUAGGGAAGUUUGGGAUGCAAGGGUUUGGAAAUAUUUUUUAUGUGCCAGAAAACAAUUACAAUCAUGGCAUGGAUUGGGUUAAUCUUAUAUGAUAUGUAAUUAAAGCAAUUCUAGUAUUAAUGUAGCUAGUGACCAUCUUAUGUA